rnacentral:misc_RNA from 1 species
GAUGAAGAACGCAGCGAAAUGCGAUAAGUAAUGUGAAUUGCAGAAUUCAGUGAAUCAUCGAAUCUUUGAACGCACAUUGCGCCCCCUGGUAUUCCGGGGGGCAUGCCUGUUCGAGCGUCAUUUCACCACUCAAGCCUCGCUUGGUAUUGGGCAACGCGGUCCGCCGCGUGCCUCAAAUGGACCGGCUGGGUCUUCUGUCCCCUAAGCGUUGUGGAAACUAUUCGCUAAAGGGUGUUCGGGAGGCUACGCCGUAAAACAACCCCAUUUCUAAGGUUGACCUCGGAUCAGGUAGGGAUACCCGCUGAACUUAAGCAUAUCAAUAAGCGGAGGA